rnacentral:rRNA from 1 species
AUUGAACGCUGGCGGCAUGCCUUACACAUGCAAGUCGAACGGCAGAGGGGGAGAAGCUUGCUUUUCCUGCCGGCGAGUGGCGAACGGGUGAGUAAUACAUCGGAACGUGCCCUGUAGUGGGGGAUAACUAGUCGAAAGAUUAGCUAAUACCGCAUACGACCUGAGGGUGAAAGUGGGGGACCGCAAGGCCUCAUGCUAUAGGAGCGGCCGAUGUCUGAUUAGCUAGUUGGUGGGGUAAAGGCCUACCAAGGCGACGAUCAGUAGCUGGUCUGAGAGGACGAGCAGCCACACUGGGCCUGGGACACGGCCCAGACUCCUACGGGAGGCAGCAGUGGGGAAUUUUGGACAGUGGGCGAAAGCCUGAUCCAGCAAUGCCGCGUGUGUGAAGAGGGCCUUCGGGUUGUAAAGCACUUUUGUCCGGAAAGAAAUGGCUCUGGUUAAUACCUGGGGUCGAUGACGGUACCGGAAGAAUAAGGACCGGCUAACUACGUGCCAGCCGCCGCCGUAA